rnacentral:rRNA from 1 species
ACACUUUUGACAAUGGAUAUCUUGGCUCCUACAACGAUGAAGAACACAGCGAAAUGUGAUACGUAGUGUGAAUUGCAGAACUCAGUGAACCAUCGAGUUUUUGAACGCAUAUUGCGCUCCCAGGUCCUCCUGGGAGCAUGCCUGUUCGAGUAUCAUUCU